rnacentral:lncRNA from 1 species
UGUAGUUGCAGGAUUCUUCAUCUCCUUCCAUGAUGCUGAGUUCUGCUGGUUGGUUGGAGGGCACGAGCGCCAACAGCAACUAUUGGGUUCCCUCCUCCCCCUGAAGUGAAGGGCACAGAAAGACAACAUCUAGUCACUGGGAUGACAGAUUCAGAUUACUAAAGGGAAAUCAGGUUGCUACUGCACAGCUGUGCUUAGAAAGUCUAUGCCGAAGUUCAAAGACAACUUGUGCUAUUAAAGAAUUCAUGUGUUCACCUACAAAGAAGCCCAGAAAUACACAAUGGAGAAAAAAAACAAAACAAAACAGCAUCUUCAACGAAUGGUGCUAGUUAACCUGGGCAGCUGCAUCUAGAAGAUCCAAAUAGAUCCAUACCUGUCACCUCACACAAAACUCAACUCCAAAUGGAGCAAAGGCUUUAACAUAAAAUCAAAUACGCUGAGCCUGAUAGACGAGAAAGUGGGAAACAGCCCUGACCUCCUUGGCACAGAAAAAGACUUCCUGAACAGAACACUGUUAACAUAGUUACUAAGAUCAACAAUUCAUUAAUUGGACCUCGUGAAACUGAAAAGAUUCUGCAUGGCAAAGGACAGCAUCAUUCAGACAAAGUGGCAGCCUGCAAAGUGGAAAAUGUUUGACCAACGACACAUUUAAUAGAGGGCUAAUGUUCAAAAUAUAGGAAAAAACUUAAAAAAAUA